rnacentral:rRNA from 1 species
UCGAGAAUUUUUCACAAUGGGCGAAAGCCUGAUGAAGCGACGCCGCGUGGGGGAUGAAGGGCUUCGGCCUGUAAACCCCUGUCAUUUGCGACCAAACCUUUUCACCUGACACGUGAAGAGCUGAUUGUAGUGAAAGAGGAAGGGACGGCUAACUCUGUGCCAGCAGCCGCGGUAAUACAGAGGUCUCAAGCGUUGUUCGGAAUCACUGGGCGUAAAGCGUGCGUAGGCUGUUUCGUAAGUCGUGUGUGAAAGGCGCGGGCUCAACCCGCGGACGGCACAUGAUACUGCGAGACUAGAGUAAUGGAGGGGGAACCGGAAUUCUCGGUGUAGCAGUGAAAUGCGUAGAUAUCGAGAGGAACACUCGUGGCGAAGGCGGGUUCCUGGACAUUAACUGACGCUGAGGCACGAAGGCCAGGGGAGCGAAAG